AGUUUUUCAUUUGGCGUGGCUAGC
rnacentral:miRNA from 1 species